UACGAAGGGGACUAGCGUUGCUCGGAAUCACUGGGCGUAAAGCGCACGUAGGCGGCUUUUUAAGUCAGGGGUGAAAUCCUGGAGCUCAACUCCAGAACUGCCUUUGAUACUGGGAAGCUUGAGUCCGGGAGAGGUGAGUGGAACUCCGAGUGUAGAGGUGAAAUUCGUAGAUAUUCGGAAGAACACCAGUGGCGAAGGCGGCUCACUGGCCCGGUACUGACGCUGAGGUGCGAAAGCGUGGGGAGCAAACAGG
rnacentral:rRNA from 1 species